GAUGAACGCUGGCGGCGUGCCUAAUACAUGCAAGUCGAGCGAACAGACGAGGAGCUUGCUCCUCUGACGUUAGCGGCGGACGGGUGAGUAACACGUGGAUAACCUACCUAUAAGACUGGGAUAACUUCGGGAAAACGGAGCUAAUACCGGAUAAUAUAUUGAACCGCAUGGUUCAAUAGUGAAAGACGGUUUUGCUGUCACUUAUAGAUGGAUCCGCGCCGCAUUAGCUAGUUGGUAAGGUAACGGCUUACCAAGGCGACGAUGCGUAGCCGACCUGAGAGGGUGAUCGGCCACACUGGAACUGAGACACGGUCCAGACUCCUACGGGAGGCAGCAGUAGGGAAUCUUCCGCAAUGGGCGAAAGCCUGACGGAGCAACGCCGCGUGAGUGAUGAAGGUCUUCGGAUCGUAAAACUCUGUUAUUAGGGAAGAACAAAUGUGUAAGUAACUAUGCACGUCUUGACGGUACCUAAUCAGAAAGCCACGGCUAACUACGUG
rnacentral:rRNA from 1 species